rnacentral:rRNA from 1 species
CACGUAGGGGGCAAGCGUUGUCCGGAUUUAUUGGGCGUAAAGAGCUCGUAGGCGGCUCAGUAAGUCAGGCGUGAAACCUCCAGGCUCAACCUGGAGACGCCACCUGAUACUGCUGUGGCUAGAGUCCGGUAGGGGAGCGUGGAAGUUCCUGGUGUAGCGGUGAAAUGCGCAGAUAUCAGGAGGGAACACCGGUGGGCGAAAGGCGGGUCUCUGGGCCGUAACUGACGC